CAGAGUUUAACCGGUUCGCUCAUAAUAAACCAGUCCAUCUAUAGAUAGGUGUUAUAGGAUAAACACAUCAAUGAAGUGGCCACUCAUUGUUUUGUAAAUUCCUUUGAUGACACUGAUAGGUGAUUAGAAAUCAGUAAUAAUUAAAUAAUUAUAACGGCAAUCAUCCUUAUCACACACAUCUUCAAAUAGACUGUCCUUAUGCAAAUUAAAACGUAAGCUCCGCCCG
rnacentral:lncRNA from 1 species